CCUACGGGAGGCAGCAGUGGGGAAUAUUGGACAAUGGGGGGAACCCUGAUCCAGCCAUGCCGCGUGUGUGAAGAAGGCCCUCGGGUUGUAAAGCACUUUCAGUGAGGAAGAACGCCUGGUGGUUAAGACCCAUCAGGAAAGACAUCACUCACAGAAGAAGCACCGGCUAACUCCGUGCCAGCAGCCGCGGUAAUACGGAGGGUGCGAGCGUUAAUCGGAAUUACUGGGCGUAAAGCGCGCGUAGGUGGCUUGAUAAGCCGGUUGUGAAAGCCCCGGGCUCAACCUGGGAACGGCAUCCGGAACUGUCAAGCUAGAGUGCAGGAGAGGAAGGUAGAAUUCCCGGUGUAGCGGUGAAAUGCGUAGAGAUCGGGAGGAAUACCAGUGGCGAAGGCGGCCUUCUGGACUGACACUGACACUGAGGUGCGAAAGCGUGGGUAGCAAACAGGAUUAGAUACCCUUGUAGUC
rnacentral:rRNA from 1 species